CCGCAUUCCCUUGGGGAGUAGCCGCCCGGCAAUUUGGCCGGGCCGCGCGUCAACACAAUCGGCCGUCCUUUGGAUACGCCGUGGCGCGCGGGGCCUUUCAGGUUUGGCGAGACCAAUGGUUGGUUCCUUCUGCGGUCGGCAGGGGGAGGCAGCCAUUGCGCUCACCACCCCGGCCCCGGA
rnacentral:sRNA from 2 species